GAUGAACGCUGGCGGCGUGCCUAAUACAUGCAAGUCGAGCGAAUGGAUUAAGAGCUUGCUCUUAUGAAGUUAGCGGCGGACGGGUGAGUAACACGUGGGUAACCUGCCCAUAAGACUGGGAUAACUCCGGGAAACCGGGGCUAAUACCGGAUAACAUUUUGAACCGCAUGGUUCGAAAUUGAAAGGCGGCUCCGGCUGUCACUUAUGGAUGGACCCGCGUCGCAUUAGCUAGUUGGUGAGGUAACGGCUCACCAAGGCAACGAUGCGUAGCCGACGUGAGAGGGUGGUCGGCCACACUGGGACUGAGACACGGCCCAGACCCCUACGGGAGGCAGCAGUGGGGAAUCUUCCGCAAUGGACGAAAGUCUGACGGAGCAACGCCGCGUGAGUGAUGAAGGCUUUCGGGUCGUAAAACUCUGUUGUUAGGGAAGAACAAGUGCUAGUUGAAUAAGCUGGCACCUUGACGGUACCUAACCAGAAAGCCACGGCUAACUACGUGCCAGCCGCCGCGGUAA
rnacentral:rRNA from 1 species